AUACCGGCGGCUCGAGUGGUGGCCACUAUUACUGGGCUUAAAGCGUCCGUAGCUGGGUAGUUAAGUCUCUGGGGAAAUCUUCCGGCUCAACCGGAAGGCGUCUCAGAGAUACUGGCUACCUUGGGAUCGGGAGAGGUGAGAGGUACUCUGGGGGUAGGAGUGAAAUCCUGUUAUCCUCAGGGGACCACCUGUGGCGAAGGCGUCUCACCAGAACGACUCCGACAGUGAGGGACGAAAGCUGGGGGAGCAAACCGGAUUAGAUACCCGGGUAGUCCCAGCUGUAAGCUAUGCGCGUUAGGUGUAUCAGUGGCCACGAGCUACUGAGGUGCCGAAGGGAAACCGUGAAACGCGCCGCCUGGGAAGUACGGUCGCAAGGCUGAA
rnacentral:rRNA from 1 species